UACGUAGGGAGCAAGCGUUGUCCGGAAUUACUGGGCGUAAAGGGCGCGUAGGCGGAUUGUUAAGUCAGAUGUGAAAUCUCCGGGCUCAACCCGGAGCGUGCAUUUGAAACUGGCUAUCUUGAGGGCAGGAGAGGAAAGUGGAAUCCUAGUGUAGCGGUGAAAUGCGUAGAUAUUAGGAGGAACACCAGUGGCGAAGGCGGCCUGCUGGACAGUAACUGACGUU
rnacentral:rRNA from 1 species